rnacentral:rRNA from 1 species
AGAGGAAGUAAAAGUCGUAACAAGGUUUCUGUAGGUGAACCUGCAGAAGGAUCAUUAGAGAUACUUUAUGAGCCACACACUUAGUGUGGUUGCUCAAAUUUCAACAAACACACACAUACCCCUAGGCUGAUUGAGGUGUUUUUCAUUUUAUGAAAACACACUCUCUUGGUGAUUGCAUGGCUUGGACUGAAUGGGUCGCUGCCACAUCUUUACCCCCCCAUCAUUAAUUUGUUAAUUCAGUGGUUAGAAUGAAAUUGAAAUAUCAUAAUCUUAUAUAACUUUUAACAAUGGAUCUCUAGGCUCUCACAUCGAUGAAGAACACAGUGAAAUGUGAUUAGUAAUGUGAAUUGCAGAAUUCAGUGAAUCAUCAAAUUUUUGAACGCACCUUGCACCUUGUGGAAUUCCACGAGGUACACCUGUUUGAGUGUCAUGAAAACUUCUCACCACGUAAAUAUUUUAUCUGUCUCAUACUUUGUUUGAGUAAUAUUUAUUUAUGUUUGGUGGAUUAUGAGUGUUGCUGUCUUACUGGCAGCUCACUUUAAUAUUAUCAGUUGUUUGGCUCCUUUGAUUGUUUUGCAACAUGGCUUGAUGUGAUAGUUUUUUCAUUGAGCUGCAUGAUGAAAGAUAAGGGGUUCCAAUGACUUCCAAUCAGAAUCUAUUUUUUGUAACAAUGAAUUAAGACCUCAAAUCAGGUGGGACUACCUGCUGAACUUAAGCAUAUCAAUAA